CAGUAUCUGUGAAGAUAUGCAUUUCAAAUUAUUAUUAGUUUUAGAAUCACGCAAUAAAGCAUUGUCUGUGCUACAAUCUAUUGAAAAAAAUUACAGCCCUUUUUUUGGGGUUGAUGUCAAGGGCAACAUGAACUUGGGGUGGAGAUUGCAGGUAUACUGCAGUAAUUUAAUUAUGCACCUUUGCACAUUUUGGAAUCCAUCCAUCAUCCAUGUGUUUGUGGAUUGCGUAGCAAAUGCAAAUAUACAUAGACGACACCUUUGUGCAGAGUAAUUAUUGUAUGCAUCUUCUCAAGUCUCAACAAUUAAAUACCGGGGUUGUCUUGGGUAAAUUGUUACCUUCAAUUUUAAUCUUAAUUAAUAAUUCCUUUCAAAUUCUUUGAUUCAAUGGUAAAGCUGAACAUAUAACAGUUGUGUUUCUUGCACAGUAUCUAAGUGCAUAUUUUGACCAUUAUGGUUGUAAUAUCAGUCUUUAUCUUUAUUAUCCAGGGUCCUGGUGGUGUUACUGUGAAGAAGACCGGUGCGGCCUUGAUCAUUGGCAUUUAUGAUGAACCAAUGACUCCAGGUCAAUGCAACAUGGUAGUUGAAAGGCUUGGCGAUUAUCUCAUUGAUCAGGGUCUCUAAUCUUUGCUUUAUGUCUUGUUAUCGUGCAUAUUUCAUUGGCUUCUGUACAAGUUUUUGCAUCGACCUGGACUGGAAUGCUUUGAUUGCAGUGUAAUAAUCUUGUGAGUAUGAAAAGUCACGGGAUCUGCGUGUAGUGAAGAAAGUGUUUGAUGCUUGAGAAAUGAUGACUAUAAUCUCUAUCUUUGUACUUUUUUAGUGGGGUACCUGUAUACAUUACAGUGGUUUUAAAAUUUUAAUGCUAUGUUAUAAUGGUUGGCAUAUUUAUCAAAAGUUUGCUUAUUCUAUCUGGCAGAAAGCCUUCAUAUUUAUACUUCCGUAUUCCUUCCGGCCCCCCUUUUUCCCCGAUGCAAAUAAUUUUCUCAGUUAAACUUAUGCAUUAAAGCUCUUUUAUAAUAGUGUGUUUGGUUGAGCGUCUAGCCUGUAAAAAUCAGGCCUUAUUCUCACGUUAAGGCUGAAGUUACUGCAUCAGAUUUUCACAUACUGAAUCUACGUGUUUGGGAUCCAAACACCCACUUUGGGUUUGGUGAAAACAAAAUUCUUUUGCUUUAAGAAACCGCCGUUAGAAAUCCUUCAACAAUCAAACUUGGUUUGACUUAUUAGAGCAUUUUUAAUGAUGGAUUUCAUUUUAAUAUCUUAAAUUACUUUUUGGUUGGUCUUAUAAGAUCAUAUUUGAAUUAAUUUUUUCCUUCUAAUGGUAGAUUUAAAUGAGUCACUUUUUGUGGAUUUUAUAAUAAAUUUCACUUAAAUAUAUUUUAUCAAUUAUUUUUAAAUUAAAUUUAAGUAAUUAUUUAUAAAUAUUUUAAUUAUUAAAUAACUAAUAUUAAAAUUAAAAUUAAGUAGUUAAUAUUAUAACAUGCAUAAACAAAAUUUCUUGAUCUACAUGAUCAUAAUUAACAUCAAUGUUAUCAUUGUGUAUAAUAUUCUUCAAGAAUCCAUUUUCUCUCCGCCCUUCCCUUUCCCUCCCUCAACCUCCACCUCUGCACGGCACACAGCGCCACCAAUCUCCUCCUCUGCAGCGUGCGGCACCACCACACUCCACCUCUGCUGUGCUCCACAAUGCCCUCCACGAACCUCAAUGUUCACAAGAUUCCAUUUUUAUUUGUUCUUGUAUUUAUUAUUUUGUAAUUGGAUUUAUUUACUUUCUUGUUUUUCAACUGUGAUAUGUUGCUGUUGUUGUUUAUUGUUUGAUGUGGAUUUUGGAGUUCAUUCUCUUCUUCCUUUUUCAUUUCUAUUCCUUUCCUCAGAAUCUGUUAGGAAGAGAGACGGUAAAAAAUCUGUUAAGACCUCAUCCUCUAUGAUCCCAUGUCUCUCUUUAGUAAAAGAUACGAGAUCAAAUCUUGAACUCAAGAUCUCAUCUUAACAUCUUCCAAAAAGAUGCUCUUAGACAUUCAGACACCGUCAUUCAUUCAUUGUACUGCAUGGCAGAUCAUGUAUGUAAGGUGUGGGAAUCUCUAUUAUCAUUAUUGCUUGAAGAUGAUAACCAAGUGAACUUGUUCAAACCUUUGGAAAUUGCAAUGUGGAGGAUUGUGGUCUGUUUUGUGCUCGACGUUAUGGCAUAUGAAGAAAAGAAAGCGAUGGAUGUUCCCGAAUCCAAGCUUGUUCGGGUUGGGACUUUCUUAGUUGAGGUGGUCCAUGUGGAGAGUUUGCAGCGAACAAUGACCCUUUUUCUCCAAAAAUUAUUUAGUUAAAACUUUUUAAAAUGAUUUAUUUAAUUUGUCAUGUUAUUAGGUUUCGGGUAGUCCCGCAGUUAAACGGGUCAAAACUUUACCCGCCCUAUGCUUGCUGUUUGGGUGGGUUGACAAUUUAUUUAAUAAAUGUACCUUAGCGUAUAUAGUACAUACAUUUUUUGUAACUAAAAUGUGUUUGAUAUUGAAUAGCUGUAAUUCAGAGGAAAUAAAUAUAUCGUUCUUUUAUUCCACACACGGGUAGAGUUAAGUGAGUCAGGUGGGCUUAACAGCUCAAUCAUUAAAGUCAAGAGAGACAAUACUUAUUGCUUGCAAGAUCCUAAAGUGGUCUCCCCUUCCAAAGCCCUCGAACCUCCUACUACUAGUAUUAGAUAAUGGGAAUUGAUGGAGAGAAGCAUUCGAAUUGAAAUUGAAAAAUAAAAAGCAAUUUUAAUCAGAAAUAAUAAGAUGAUAAGUAAUAAGCCCCCCAAGUAUAAAUAGUUUUCUAAAUAAACAGAAUGUAAACAACAAUCUUUCUGUUAAGGGGAAUCAUUAUCAUAAUUAAUCAUCAAGGUUCAAAGCAAAACAAUACAAUUGGAAAUUAUUUCUGGUUUAUGUCAUCGGUUGACAAAAACUAGACAAUCACAUGUUUAUCUUCUUUUAUAUAGAAUAAUAACAUUUAUUCUUACAAUUUUGUUUCUACAGCAUAUAUAUAUAUAUAUAUAUAUAUAUAUAUAUAUAUAUAUAUAUAUAUAUAUAUCCUUUUGAGCUAUAAAUCAAUACUACACUCUGCAACAAAAAGAAGGAUGAAUUUCUUAUGGACUAUAUGUUAGUAUAUAUUGAAAUAAAAUUUGUUAAAAAAUUUAUUGUAGUUUCAAUUAUAGAUGACAUGUUGGAGAGAUAUUUUAUGUUUUAAGAAAUUAUUAAUGUGAGUAAUGAUUUUACAUAUAAUUAUAAUUAUUUUGUAUGAAAUUUGACGUGUAUAUAUUGGAAGCAAACAUGGAAACAUUUUCAAGAAUAUUAAUGAUUUUCAGUAAAAAUAUAUAUUUAUGAUCAACCAAAUAAAUUUUAGUCAUUUUUAGAAUUAUAAUUUUCAGAAUUUAUGAAUCCCAAAAAUCAAUUCCUGAAUAUGAAAAAAAAAAUUCCUCUACUAAACGCUCUUAAAAUAAAAAUCUUAAGGUAUGAAUAUUUGUAUUCGUGUUUAUGAAUCUUUAGUCACCUUGGAAUUUUUUUAAUGGAAUUAUGCCUUAGAAUUAUAAUACAAAUAUAUCAUGGAGCGCGUGGAUAAUCUAACAUAAACUUGUUUUAAUUUAACCAAAGUUAAAUGUAAUAUUAUACAUUCAAAUAUAUAUAUCUGUUGUACAUUGACCUCUUAUUUAGUUGAAAUAAGAUUGUUUUCGUUAGAAAAAUCGUGUGGUUUAAACCCAAAAAUUAUUGUACAAACGCGGUAAAUGAUAGUGAUAAUUACUGGCAGCAAAUAAUAGAACGUCGCUAUUUGAAAAAGGAAGGAACCGUAAAGAGAAAAGACAAAAAAUAUUGGAAGUGAAGCGACAUUGAACCUUUUAAGGAAAGAAAAUGAUAACCUUUUCUUUUUUAACUUUGAAACUGUCAAACACAUUUGAGUCUCGAUUCGAUUAAUGUGAACUUUAUUGCCAAUACUUUUAACUUACAUGAAAAAAUAUUUUAUUCACUAAAAUAUUAUUUAACUUAAAUAAAAUUAUUAAGAAAAAUAGUUUAUUUUAAUAAGAUUAAUGUAAUCAGCACAUCUCAAAUAAUUUGAUUUUUUUAAAUAGGUUCCUAAAUUUAUAUAAUUGAGCCUUGCUCUUGUAUUGUUUUUUAUAAUCAAAUCCUUUGAAUUAGUUUAAAAAUGAUUAUUUAAUUUUUUUUAUAAAAAAAUUAUAAGAUGAAGAACCUAAUUAUAUAUUUUUUUUAUAAUUUAAAGAUCAAAUUAAAAAUUCUCAAAUAAUUCAGAACUUACUGAUUAAUUUAAUCUUUGAAUAAUUUUUAAUGUUUCUUAAAUAUUAUUUCGCAUUUUUUUUUCGUUUCGAUUGUUAAUUUUUCCAUAUGUUUCUUCAAUUAUUAUUUCAGAAACUUAACAUUUUCUUAUUUUUUUACAUUCACCGCCUAUCAUGUUUCUUUUGUUAUGCUCUGCCACAACAGUGGCAAUUCCAUUGCUGGCCAGUGGCCACUACUAAGCUUUUUCUUUAAAUUAUUGUUUUGAGAUUACACGGUUUAUUUUUUGGUGAAUUUUAUAUUACUUAUUUCCAUUUUUGGUAAAAUAUAAAUAUUUAAAAUUAUAAAGAAAAAGUAAUUUUUUGCAAGAAAUGUUGUUUAAAUUAAUAAUGUCACAUUUUUGUAUUUAAUGAGCGAAAAUAGGACAAUGAAAAGGAGAUUCCUGUACAGUGUACAGGGAUUUAUAGGCAGAGAUAGUUGCGUAAUAUGAACGCAGCUGAGAAGCAGUUGAUUUUCCGAUCAGAAAAUCUGAAUCAUGUCGUGGCAAGCGUACGUGGAUGAUCACCUGCUGUGUGAAAUCGAAGGUAACCACCUCACUCACGCCGCUAUUAUCGGCCACGACGGCAGCGUUUGGGCUCAGAGCGCCAACUUCCCUCAGGUAACGCUUCUAGAUUCGCCGAUCCCUGAGAGUGUUGAUUAUAUACUGUGCAACUAUGUUUGAUUUUGGUGUAGUUCAAAGCUGAGGAAAUAACUGCUAUCAUGAAUGACUUUAACGAGCCUGGAUCACUUGCUCCAACUGGAUUGUUUCUCGCUGCCACCAAAUACAUGGUCAUCCAGGGCGAGCCUGGUGCCGUCAUUCGAGGCAAGAAGGUAACUACUACUCUCUAUCUUAUCAUUUGUAAUACGUAGAAUUAGACUCUUGCAACAAGAUAUGCAUUUUCUAUUCUUUUUACAAUAUAUAGAUUCAUAGAAUUAGAAUCCUGCAAUAAACUCUAGACUGACUUGGAACCUUAUAAUUGUGAAUUCUCACCACCAUAAUGUAGUCAAAAUUUCUUUCUUUUUUUCGGGUAACAUGAGCAUGGAUUGAACUUACAUACACUAAUUUAGUUAUGCAACCGUAUCUUGCAUAUUAUUUUAUAAGCAAAAUAUCUCUCUUUUCUAAACCUUUGCACAUUUUCGGAAUCCAUCUGAUGUAAAAUUCAUUUUCGGAAUCCAUCCAUGUGUUUGAGAAUUGCAUUUCAAUAUCGAUCAAAUGCCUAUGUGCAUAGACACCUCUGUGCAGAGUAAUUAUUAUAUGCAUUCUCUCAACAAUUAAAUACUGUGUACCGGAAUCGUCUGAUGCAAAAUCAUUACCUUCAAUUUUAAUUUUUAGUAACUUUUUUUUUUCAAUUUUUUUUAUUCAAUAGUGAAAGAUGAUCAUGUUAGUGCAAAUAUCUUCUCAGUGCAUAUCUUGGCCAUUAUAGAAGUAAUAUCAGUGUUUAAUUAUCCCCAUCAUUUAGGGUCCUGGUGGUGUUACUGUGAAGAAGACCGGUGCGGCCUUGAUCAUUGGCAUUUAUGACGAACCAAUGGCUCCGGGUCAGUGCAACAUGGUAGUGGAAAGGCUUGGUGAUUAUCUCAUUGAACAGGGUCUCUAAUCCUCUAUUUAUGUCUUGCUAUCGUGCAUAUUUCAUUGGCUUCUGUACGAGUUUUUGCAUCGACCUCGACUGUAAUGCUUUGAUUGCAGUGUAAUAAUAUUGUUGGGUGGGUAUCAAAAGUCACGGCAUGUGCGUGUUGCCAAGAAAAAGUGUUUUGGUG
rnacentral:lncRNA from 1 species